CCGGUUUAAGCGUGUAGGUGUGUGUUCCAGGUAAAUCCGGUUCACUUUAACACUGAGGCGUGACGACGAGGCACUACGGUGCUGAAGCAACAAAUGCCCUGCUUCCAGGAAAAGCCUCUAAGCAUCAGGUAACAUCAAAUCGUACCCCAAACCGACACAGGUGGUCAGGUAGAGAAUACCAAGGCGCUUGAGAGAACUCGGGUGAAGGAACUAGGCAAAAUGGUGCCGUAACUUCGGGAGAAGGCACGCUGACACGUAGGUGAAGUGAUUUACUCAUGGAGCUGAAGUCAGUCGAAGAUACCAGCUGGCUGCAACUGUUUAUUAAAAACACAGCACUGUGCAAACACGAAAGUGGACGUAUACGGUGUGACGCCUGCCCGGUGCCGGAAGGUUAAUUGAUGGGGUCAGCGCAAGCGAAGCUCCUGAUCGAAGCCCCGGUAAACGGCGGCCGUAACUAUAACGGUCCUAAGGUAGCGAAAUUCCUUGUCGGGUAAGUUCCGACCUGCACGAAUGGCGUAAUGAUGGCCAGGCUGUCUCCACCCGAGACUCAGUGAAAUUGAACUCGCUGUGAAGAUGCAGUGUACCCGCGGCAAGACGGAAAGACCCCGUGAACCUUUACUAUAGCUUGACACUGAACAUUGAGCCUUGAUGUGUAGGAUAGGUGGGAGGCUUUGAAGUGUGGACGCCAGUCUGCAUGGAGCCGACCUUGAAAUACCACCCUUUAAUGUUUGAUGUUCUAACGUGGACCCGUUACCCGGGUUGCGGACAGUGUCUGGUGGGUAGUUUGACUGGGGCGGUCUCCUCCUAAAGAGUAACGGAGGAGCACGAAGGUUGGCUAAUCCUGGUCGGACAUCAGGAGGUUAGUGCAAUGGCAUAAGCCAGCUUGACUGCGAGCGUGACGGCGCGAGCAGGUGCGAAAGCAGGUCAUAGUGAUCCGGUGGUUCUGAAUGGAAGGGCCAUCGCUCAACGGAUAAAAGGUACUCCGGGGAUAACAGGCUGAUACCGCCCAAGAGUUCAUAUCGACGGCGGUGUUUGGCACCUCGAUGUCGGCUCAUCACAUCCUGGGGCUGAAGUAGGUCCCAAGGGUAUGGCUGUUCGCCAUUUAAAGUGGUACGCGAGCUGGGUUUAGAACGUCGUGAGACAGUUCGGUCCCUAUCUGCCGUGGGCGCUGGAGAACUGAGGGGGGCUGCUCCUAGUACGAGAGGACCGGAGUGGACGCAUCACUGGUGUUCGGGUUGUCAUGCCAAUGGCACUGCCCGGUAGCUAAAUGCGGAAGAGAUAAGUGCUGAAAGCAUCUAAGCACGAAACUUGCCCCGAGAUGAGUUCUCCCUGAGACUUAGAGUCUCCUGAAGGAACGUUGAAGACGACGACGUUGAUAGGCCGGGUGUGUAAGCGCAGCGAUGCGUUGAGCUAACCGGUACUAAUGAACCGUGAGGCUUAACCUUACAACGCCGAAG
rnacentral:rRNA from 1 species